rnacentral:tRNA from 1 species
GCCAGCAUGGCGUAGUGGUUUGAGUGUUAGACUACAACUCUAGAGACCAAGGUUUGAUUCCUAGCUUGGCC